AUUGACACAUAUCUUCGAUGAAACUUACGAGGUUCAACACUCUAUUGUUGAUAUGAGGCCUCAAGAAAGGGUAGCAGAGGUAUGGAACUGUAAUGGUAUGGAACUGGAACUGGACCUUCAUUAAAUACUCCCUCCCUGCAAAAGUACAAAAGGGUAUGAUUAAUUAUCUUUUAUUUUUUACCUUAAUGAUAUUUAUUAUGGAUCAAGUAGUUCGUCACUAUUAUGGAAUUCUGAAAUGAAAUUAAAUUGUAUAGAGAUUCUUGUCUUAUUUUAGACUCAUAUUUGGAAAAAUCUUGACCAAGCAAUUCGUGAA